rnacentral:lncRNA from 10 species
CGGCCUCCCAAAGUGUUGGGAUUACAGGCUUGAGCCACUGUGCCCGGCCUGAAACCUUUUAAAGUUUGAUAUUUUUCACAAUAAAAAGUUAUCUUCCCAAGAAUCAAAAAUCUCAAAACAAAAGCAAGAAAGAAUACAGAUGCUGCCAACAGGGAGAGGAGUGAGGUGGUUAAAAACACAGGUGCUGGGUUUUAAUUUUAGCUUUGCCACUUAUUAGCUAUAUGAAACUAGGCCUACGUUAUCUGUGUCCCAAUUUCCUGGUCUGUAAAAUAGGGAUGAUAAUAAUAGCACCAACCUAGGGUCCUUGUGAAUUUAAUGAAUUGGCAACCACACAGUACUUAAUAGCAUGAGUUCUAUAAUCAGUGCUGAAUACUGUUUGUUGUUUUUAUUAGAGGGAGGCAAAAUAUGAUUCUAUGUGAUCCAUUUUCCCCUCAGGGCAUUUGCCAGGGAGAACAGUCUGUUGUGCUCCUUCUGACUUGUUUGGAAGGGUAUACUUCAGCUAAAAACACUUGCCAUGUGGUCAAUCCAAUUAUUCAGGUAGAGGGUUAUAUAUAUCGAUUUAAUAAAUGGAGGAAGUUUAAAAUUAACAGAUAUGUUUAUAAUCAUUUGGUGUACACUUAGUUUUGAUGUGGGGACCAAUGAGGCUUAGCUUUUUUUUUUUUUUUUUUUUUUUAAGUAUAAUCAUCGUAUCAGGACAAAAUAUUGUAUUUGGAAUAACCUGGGCAUCAGGAUGAAGAAAAAGUGAUCACACUGACAAGAUGUCUGUUAAGCUUUAAAAAUAUAUAUGUAUGGUUUAUUAUAAAGAAUUAAAGUAUAUCCACUACCAAGAAUGGCUGUCGGUUAACAAUGAACAUUUUUAAAUGGCAAUUAAAACAAUGUACUGGCUGGAAUGGAAAUAUAGACAGCACUUUGAUGUGGACUCUUUACAUUUAUUCCUUUUCUGCUCCUUGGGUACUUAAUGUCAAACUGAAAAAAUGAAAUAUAAGGGGCUGUUUGAGUUUGAGAAUGGGUAGUGAGGCUAAUAUUUUGCAAGUCCUUUUUGAUG